CAGCCGCCGCGGUAAUACGAAGGGGGCUAGCGUUGCUCGGAAUGACUGGGCGUAAAGGGCGCGUAGGCGGCGAUCAAAGUCAGGCGUGAAAUUCCUGGGCUCAACCUGGGGGCUGCGUUUGAUACUUGAUUGCUAGAGUGGGGAAGAGGGUCGUGGAAUUCCCAGUGUAGAGGUGAAAUUCGUAGAUAUUGGGAAGAACACCGGUGGCGAAGGCGGCGACCUGGUCCUUGACUGACGCUGAGGCGCGAAAGCGUGGGGAGCCAACAGGAUUAGAUACCCCCGUAGUCCCUGUCUCUUAUAC
rnacentral:rRNA from 1 species